rnacentral:rRNA from 1 species
UAAAUUGAUUUGUUUAAGUAAAUUAUAUUGAAAAAAUAAUAUUAAUAAUAGUUUAAUAGUAUUGUAAAAGAAAAUUGAAAUAUAUUGAAAAAUUUUUAUUUAAAAAGAAAAUUUAAUUUAUUGUAUCUUGUGUGUCAGAGUCUAUUAAAUAAAAAUUAUUUAUUAUAAUUUUCUCGAUUUUAAAAGAGUUAAUAUAUUAUAAAAGUUAAUGUAAUAAAAUUAUUUUUAAUAAUAUAUUAGAAAUGAAAUGUUAUUCGUUUUUAAAGGUAUCUAGUUAUUUAAGAAAUAAAUUUAAUUUAUAAAUUUUAUAUUAUUUAAUUGACUAUAUUAAUUAAAUAAAUAUUUGAUUUAAGUAUUUUAUGGGAUAAGCUAUAAAAUAAAAUUUUAAAAAUUAAUAUAAUAAUAUAUAAAAUAUAAACUUAGAAAUAGUUAUUAUUAAUGAAAGUGUUAUAAUUUAUUAUAUAAUGAUUAUUAUUUAUUUAUUGUUUUAAAUUUUUAUUAAAUUGUUAAUUAAAAUUAAUAAAAUUAAUAAAUAAUGAUAUAAUUAGUAUAUUUUGUUAUAUAAAUAGAUAAGUUUGGAAAGUUUUUUUAAAGAAUUCGGCAAAAUAGUAUUCGCCUGUUUAACAAAAACAUGUCUUUAUGAAUUAUUUUAAAAGUUUAACCUGCCCACUGAAAUUUUAAAUGGCCGCAGUAUUUUAACUGUGCAAAGGUAGCAUAAUCAUUAGUCUUUUAAUUGAAGGCUGGUAUGAAUGGUUGGACGAGAUAUUAACUGUUUUAAAUAAAUUUAAAAUAGAAUUUUAUUUUUUAGUUAAAAAGCUAAAAUUUUUUUAAAAGACGAGAAGACCCUAUAAAUCUUUAUAUUUGUAUUUAUUAUACUUUUAUAGAUUUUUUUUAUAUAAUAAAUAUUAAUAUUUUUUUGGGGUGAUAUUAAAAUUUAAUAAACUUUUAAUUUUUUAAUUAUCAUUAAUAAAUGAAUAUUUGAUCCGUUAUUAACGAUUAAAAUAUUAAGUUACUUUAGGGAUAACAGCGUAAUUUUUUUGGAGAGUUCAUAUUAAUAAAAAAGAUUGCGACCUCGAUGUUGGAUUAAGAUAUAAUUUUAGGUGUAGUUGCUUAAAUUUUAAGUCUGUUCGACUUUUAAAUUCUUACAUGAUCUGAGUUCAAACCGGUGUAAGCCAGGUUGGUUUCUAUCUUUAUAAAAUUAAAAUAUUUUAGUACGAAAGGACCAAAUAUUAAAUAAAUUAUUAUUUUAAAUUUGAAUGAAAAUAAUAUAACUAUUUUGGCAGAUUAGUGC